UACUAUGGGUUCAUUAUGUAGGUUACUAUGGAUUCAUUCUAUAGGUUACUAUGGGUUCAUUAUGUAGGUUACUAUGGGUUUAUUAUGUAGGUUACUAUGGAUUCAUUCUAUAGGUUACUAUG
ensembl:lncRNA